GAUCAUGGCUCAGAUUGAACGCUGGCGGAAUGCUUUACACAUGCAAGUCGAACGGUAGAGGGGGCAACCCUUGAGAGUGGCGAACGGUGAGUAAUAUAUCGGAACGUGCCCAGUCGUGGGGGAUAACGUAGCGAAAGUUACGCUAAUACCGCAUACGAUCUAAGGAUGAAAGCGGGGGAUCGCAAGACCUCGCGCGAUUGGAGCGGCCGAUAUCAGAUUAGGUAGUUGGUGAGGUAAAGGCUCACCAAGCCGACGAUCUGUAGCUGGUCUGAGAGGACGACCAGCCACACUGGGACUGAGACACGGCCCAGACUCCUACGGGAGGCAGCAGUGGGGAAUUUUGGACAAUGGGCGCAAGCCUGAUCCAGCAAUGCCGCGUGCAGGAUGAAGGCCUUCGGGUUGUAAACUGCUUUUGUACGGAACGAAACGGUGAGCUCUAAUACAGUUUGCUAAUGACGGUACCGUAAGAAUAAGCACCGGCUAACUACGUG
rnacentral:rRNA from 1 species